AAGAUCAAGUUACAUUUUGCUCGUGUCCCUGUGAAGACUGAAAAUGAUGAUGAAAUACCACAGUCAUCACAGGUUCUUCAAAACUCAGACAUGUUGCAGCAGUUGGUGAUUAAAGAAGAAAUGCUCCCUGAACAGCAGGAGUUGAGUCUGAGUGUCGACCAGAAGGACGUUAAACAGGAACAAGAGGAAGUCUGGACAAGUAACGAGGGACAGCAGCUUAACUGGCUGGACACUGAGAAGAUCAAGUUACGUUUUGCUCGUGUCCCUGUGAAGACUGAAAAUGAUGAUGAAAUACCACAGUCAUCACAGGUUCUUCAAAACUCAGGUAUGAAUUGAUCAAAACUCUGUGAAACAUCUGUUAGUUGGAGCAGGUGUUCCACUGCUAUGGAACUAUUUAAUUGCUCUGAAUAUGGAAAACGAAUUCUCCCGACCACAUAUAGGAAAAAUCAACCCAGGAUGCAUUGCGUUAACAUUUGAGGCCUCAUGUACAAAGACUUGAGUGGAUUUUCUACUGAAACAUGUGCACUCCAAAACCCAGAAACUGGCAUAAUCACAAAAAUAUCCAGAUGUAUCAAAGCUUGCAUAUGAAUGAAUUCAAGCACGUUCCCUUUUCACGCCCCUAAAAAUGUGAAAAUGCAUGUAAAUUGGUCCUGGGAGUUGGGAAUCCCCUGUCUGUCAGAUCGGUCAACAUGAACACAGAAAAGAAAGUACACAGAGUGGAGCUACAGAUGACACACAGGGAUAGUUUCUUUUGGUACAAUGUCAAAUGAAAUAAACGUGAACCAGUAAAAAAUGUUAGUUGGAGCUCGUGUGUGUGUGAGCUCAAAGCGGCGCACACACACUGAAGUAUUAAAAAAAAAAAGAGGUAUGCCGACUGACAGUGUGACAUUCACAACAUUACACUUGUUUUUCGACAAAUACUGAACACA